CCUACGGGAGGCAGCAGUGGGGGAUAUUGCACAAUGGAGGAAACCCUGAUGCAGCGACGCCGCGUGUAGGAAGACGGUCCUCUGGAUUGUAAACUACUGUCCCCAGGGACGAAGAUGACGGUACCUGGGGAGGCAGCUCCGACUAACUACGUGCCAGCAGCCGCGGUCAUACGUAGGGAGCGAGCGUUGUCCGGAAUUACUGGGUGUAAAGGGAGCGUAGGCGGGGAUGCAAGUUGGGUGGAAACUCUACGGGCUCAACUGGUAGUCGCACUCAAAACUGCAGCUCUGGAGUGAAGUAGCGGCAGGCGGAAUUCCUAGUGUAGCGGUGAAAUGCGUAGAUAUUAGAAGGAACACCAAUAGCGUAGGCAGGUUGCUGGGACGGUUCUGACACUAAGGCACGAAAGCGUAGGGAGCAAACGGGAUUAGAUACCCGGGUAGUC
rnacentral:rRNA from 1 species